UUGUAAAGCUGAAUGAACAACUGCAGAAGAGGAUGGUAGGAGAGCUGAAGGAAUCAUGAUUCGAGUGGCAAGUUCUCUUCAGGGGAAACAUCUGGUUUUCUGGGAGUUAGAGGCAGAAGGAGCAUAGAGAUGGGAACAAAUGAUUAUAACAUAUGCUUGAUGCCUGGCCAGAAGUGUAUCCAGGGUGGGAGAGGCACAAAGGAGGCGGUGAGUUAUUCCCACUUAGAAUGAAAAGACAAGGAAAAGCUUCAUGGAGUAGGUGCUUUUGGAGCAAAGUGUGCUGGUCUUUCCAAGCCUGGACUUCCUGAGCGUCCCUGAAGCUAUAUCUGACUCCAGAGCCCGGACCUAGAGACAUUAGCUAGUGUGCAACUGCUGAGCAUGGCCAUCCCGGUGCCCAGGACUUGGGGAAGAGCAUUACACGCACCACCUUUUUAUCUGGGGGCAGAAACCUCCAAUUCUAAAGUCAGCAUUGGAGGCAGAGAGACAUUCCUGAGAGACCGGAAGCUUCUAGACCUUUCAGCCAGACCUUCGCAGCCUGGAAUAGCCUCAGCCAACAAUAGAGUCAGGAGUGUUCAUACCUGCUAUGAUCUGGUUAGCCCAGUCCAACUCUUACCUCCUCAUUGUGAUCAUUGUGGUUUUUAGAAGCCAUCCUGCUGAGGAGGUCAGCUAGAAGGAUCCUGUUUGGAGGUAGCAGCAGGUGAUAGAUGCCUUGCCUCGGAGGCAGCACACCCUCACAGUUGAGACCACCACCCGCACCUCAAAUCCCAUCACAGUUGUUUACCAGCUCUGGGACCUGCAGUUAAGUUGCUCAGCCUCCUGGAAGACCAUUUCCUUCAUCUGUAAAAAUGCAAAUAAAAUUAUUGUGAAAAAUA